rnacentral:rRNA from 1 species
CACGUAGGGGGCGAGCGUUGUCCGGAUUUAUUGGGCGUAAAGAGCUCGUAGGCGGCUCAGUAAGUCAGGUGUGAAAACUCCAGGCUCAACCUGGAGACGCCACCUGAUACUGCUGUGGCUAGAGUCCGGUAGGGGAGCAUGGAAUUCCUGGUGUAGCGGUGAAAUGCGCAGAUAUCAGGAGGAACACCGGUGGCGAAGGCGGGUCUCUGGGCAACAACUGACGCUGAGGAGCGAAAGCGUGGGGAGCGAACAGG